AGUAGGAUGGUCGGUCCUUUGUGAUCGGCUUCUUCGAGAAAUAGUUCAUUUCUUCUGAUUUUCUAUUUAUUUAAAUAGUGUUUAUAGUCUAAUAAUAUGUGUCAGUGUUGAAUCUCGAGAAUAAAACAAAAGUUGUUUGUGAAUUACUGCGGAAAAUCGAAAAAUCGCAGCAUUUAUGGGUCAUUUUCCACCAUCGCCAUAGUCGCGCAGCUUCCAAAAAUGCAGAAUUCUACAUAAAUGUGUGUUAAAUACUACGUUCUUGCCUAAACGCUUGAUGGUGAGGUAUACUUAAGAUUGAUGUUUGAAUGUAAACUGCAAACUGUAAGUAUGUAUAUAUAGACAAUUUCCAUUCGUCUGCGGGAUCUUCUGCAUCAUACCAUGGGCCACGCAGAUUUUGCGAAAAUCAGGUUUCUCCAUAAUAGUCGACGGAUCAAUAAAAUAAAAACACACAGCCGUUUUAUUUUUUUUUUAAACUGAACGGCUGUGUGAUUUCAUCAUUUUUGUUCUGUCUAUUAUUACGCAGAGAACAGCUUUUUUUUUUUUCAUUUUUUGUUAUUCGCUUCAGAUUUACUACCCAUUGUGUCUGAAAACAUCGCAAAUUCAUCGCCUUGAAUUAAUGCGCAACCACAGUAUACUUUUACUGCUAUCUAUUACGUAUAAGCUAUUUCUCCACAUCGACCGUGAACAACAAUGUGUUGUUUCUAUCAGUUCCACGUUGCCAUACAAUCAUCCCCGAAUACAUUGUGCACUAGGCAAUUGUCUGCAUUUCAUUUCGAUUUAUUGACCAUCGUCAUUAGUCACGUGCUCCUUUGAUCAGUGCUUCAUCUUCGCGAUAAUAUAAUACAUAUUUUCGCAACGAUUUUCUAUCAAAUAUUUUCCCAUUUGUUAUCUACUAAUUCAUCAUGGAUUCCAACUGCGAUACCGAUAGUCUGCUUGCUUCAAGUGGGGAUGAAGCUAUUUCCAUGGCUUCCGUGUCGCAAACUACGGUUACUCCUAAUAACCCCGAGAAAAACACUAUACCAACGGAAAAUCUACCAUCUACAUCAAAAGAUACAACCAUCACCGAUGUGAACAACGUUAUGCGUAAAGGGAAACGGGCUGCUACAAGUCCGCAAACCAACAAGGAAAAAAAAUCGAAAUAUCAAGGAAAUCUUCGUCUUUUGGUGUGUCGUGAAUCUAAAAUUGAUCAAAACUUCUUGGACUACCUUUUGGGAGAACUGGCCUCGCUUCAAGACCUGAUUCCCUCAAAUGCAGAACAGGCAAAAUUUGUCGGCUUUGGAUUUUCCGGUGGUGAUCUGUGGAUUGAGGCGGUGGAUUCGUUUAGCCUGGAGUGGCUGCAAUGUUCACUCAAUCAACUGAGCUCAGCCACCUUGGAUUUUCGCUUCACCGUGAAAUGUUUUGUGCCUCCUCCUGCACUUCAACGAUUUGUGGGAGUGUUUCCUCGAUGUAUAAAAGAACAUCUCCGCCCUGACGAUGUGUUGAAGAACAUUGCCCGUCUCAAUACUGGGUUGGAUACCCGAUACUGGAGAGUUUUUUCAUUAAAUCGAAAUCGAUCGGAUGGUCGUAGAUUUCUCGUUAUUGGUGUAGACGAGAACUCAUUGCGGGUGUUGGAAAAAUGCAAUUACAAAAUUUUCUACCGUUUCACUCAAAUCACUCUAAAGCUUUCAGAGAAUAAGAAAAAGAACUGAAAAAUAUUGUGCCAACUUUGUUUGCCAGAAAUUGAAAUCAAAUAAAUGAAUUGCCUAAAUAA